rnacentral:misc_RNA from 1 species
CUCUUGCUUAUUCUACAAUGGUCGACUGGAAUUCUUGUACUUAUAUGCUGUUUUCUUGAGCGGAAGCGAUUUUCUGUGGACAUCUCCUCCAAAUUAGGAAGCAGUUUCUCUUUGGUACCAUUUGUUAUUGUUGUGGUAUUGUGCACCAUUUUGGCUAUGAUUGCCACUUUGCCUCUUGCUCAGCUUUUCUUCUUUCAUAU